UGUUUGCAAACAAGCCAAGAGUGGAAAAUUAUUUCAAAAGUAUACUUGACGUUUUGAGAGCGGGUCUGUCUACCUUUUUUCUACCUCUAUGGCUAUACAGUACUUUUUGCAUGUGUGCAUGUCUAACCUUUUCGUACCUCUAGAGAUAGAAACGACGUUCCCGCGGCGGAACCGGAAAAGGGAAAAAAGGCGCGAGCCAAUCAAAAGCGGCGUUUGCUUUUAGCCAAUGAAUACACAGGCAUAUUAAGGAUGCUGUGACUUAUAGCCGUGCGCGGCGGAAGGUCGCUCCUUUUGACUUCUCCCUGCGCGGACGGCGUGUUGGUAAAGAGAAAUGGAAUGAAGUUUCCAGGACCACCAGGUAUGUGCAGCAAGUUAAACAUUUCUGCUGAAUAUAUGGGCUAUUUGUGUGAUGUCUUGAGCUACUUUAAUUUAUACACUUGCAUGGAAGAUCUCAGACAGAUUUCCAGGCAGAAGAAACAACGAAUGUAUUGCCAAAAAUGUAUAUGUAUCAACAGUGCUUAUAGGCAACCUUUUGUAUUCAGUUAUAUAGCAAUAAUAAAUUUGCUUUUUGAUUGUGAA